AUUGCAGCCACCCUACUUAGUUCCUAAGCCAACUCCAAGUCAGAUCAAAUGAUUACGAAAAAACCUGGUCAUUUACAGGAAACAUUACUCAAGGACAAAUUUUCUAGUUUCUCUUUCAUAAGCGAAAUCACCACAAAGCCCAGCUCAAGUUCGGGUACCUCCGUGAUCUUCUGUUCCCCUCCUGUUCUCCUUCUGGACAGAAUCACCAGCAUAAUUCACACGGACUUCUCUGAUCUCCCACAGGUCGUUAGACUGGAUAUAUUGUAUUGACUUCUGCCUCCUUUAUCCCCCCAGCACUUUCAUUACCACUGUCAGGAAUGGGUUUCAGAAACCACAAAAAAUUUCAUGGAAGAGACAGGAAAAGAAACUCUUGAAAGAAUUUCACACUGAAUGGAAAAGUUCCUUCUAGUCGUCUUCGAGUGAGCUAGUUCUCAAACAUUAUUCUCUGUAGUCUUCCUGAGAACUCAGACUACUGGUAUGUCCCUGCUUGGAAUAUGACUGCUGGAUUCUAGCAAUGUGUUGAUCCCGGCCCCAAGACCCGCCCACGAAAAUGAUUAUUUUAACCCUGAGGACCUAGAUGUGGCCAGUCUUUGCUGGGACCACUGUCGUCAUCGUCAUCGUCACCAUCUAACACCGGCUUUUAUCAAGGGUUGCUCCCUGAGCCUGGAUGCCAAUCAUUCACCUCUCCCUGGCAAAAGUAAUAAAUCAUAGCGAGAAACUGACUGCUUUUGAAGAAUAUAGAAGAUAAAGAAACUGAGUGCUUGAGAACUGGAAGGUGGCAAAAAGCAGCAGGAGGCGAAGAGGAAAAGAUCAAGUGGAAAGAGUCACCACCACGUGUACUUUGCUCAGCUCGGAACUUGAACCCUUCUACAGAGAUCACGUCUGUCUGAGCCUCUUGAAUCGCCAACCUUGUGAUAAACAAUAGGUAAACGUAUCCAGGGAGAAACAGGGCAACACCAAGGAGACAACAGGGCCAUAGGACAGGUUCCAGGUACAGCUGAAGGGCCAUCUGGACACCCACUCCCACCCACUUUCAUCAGAGUCACCAAGCACAGUGGGGGGUCGGGGUGGAGCCACAGGCACUGACAGAGUAGUGACUCCCCCACAACUUCCUCCUUCCUGCCCAGCUCAGCCUGUUUACUCAGCAGACUUGUCUGGUGUAAAGCUCUCAUCUUCCUCACAACAGGCCCAUUUCUCCAGCACCUUCCCAUACCACACAUAGCUGUAUUUCUUAAGGGAGGGAUUUUUCUUUUUACAUUAGCUGUAGACAGCAACCAAAGGUAAAUAACAAUUUGUCUAUAUUUUAUUAUUCGAUUCCUCAGAGAGGUUUCACUUCCUUUCUUGGGAGCAAUGAGCCAAGCAUGAAUAGGUUUUGUGGACACUAAGUCUCAAGUUUGACUGUGACUCCACUUUGGCACUCUACCUGACCUUCUCCGGUAGUGCCGGGCACCUGCCUUACCUUAUUAAGUUAAUUAAAGUUUGGCUACUAAUGACACUCUUCUGGUUCUCCUCCUAACUUGGUGGCUGUCCAUCUAAGUGUCCUUCCCAGGCUCCUCCUCCAAUCAUUAAUAUUGGUAGUCGCUAGAAUUCAAUCCUUUCCACAUACACUUCCCAAAUAAUCUCCUUUUGGUGCACCACUAGCUAGAUGUGUGACCUUGGGCAAGUUAUUGGCCUCUGUGUGCCUCAGUUCUUUCAUCUGUGAAAUGAAAAUAAUAGUAUUAUGUGCCUCCUUGGGUUGUUGUGAGAUUACAUGGGUUGAUAUAAGUAACAUUCUUUUUUUGAAUUUUAAUGAAGUUUUUAAUUUUAAUUCCAGUGUAGUUAACAUACAGUGUUCUAUUAGUUUCAGUUGUAUGACACAGUAAUUCAGUAAUUCUAUACACUACUCAAUACUUAUCAUGAUAAGGGUACUCUUAAUCCUCAUCACCUAUUUCACUCAUCUCCCCACCCACCUCCCAUCUGGUAACCAUCUGUUUGUUCCCUAUAGUUAAGGGUCU